CUUCGGCUCGCCGUGGUGAGUUUGAUACUCCGGGACUAUGAGGUGCGUUUGCGCCAUUUGGAUGUUGUGUCUGGAAGCAAUGAGUGAUUUAUUUAACGGGCAGCGGUGCAUUUUGAAUCCACAACCCAUCCCCUCUUUUUUUAACUGGUCGUUCAGAACAGCACUUUUUACGUUUUUUUCGUACUGAACGCAGCCCAGUGAAUGGCGUGGAGCCUACUGGAGAGGAAAAGCUUCCUGUCAACAGCCUCACCCAGUCAUACCGGAGGGCGUAGAAGAGGGGAUGGCAGAAAACAGCUCCGAUACUUGUGGUUCCGUUUAUCGGAGGUGUUUGACUCAUUCUACCGGGGGAAAAACCCAGUCAACCAGUAACGGGGCAUCCAAAUGGGUUCGAUUGAACGUGGGGGGAACGUAUUUCUUAACAACACGACAGACGCUGUGCCGAGAUCCGAAAUCAUUUCUGUACCGACUGAGCCAGGCUGACCCCGACCUCGACUCUGAUAAGGAUGACACUGGUGCCUAUCUCAUAGACAGAGACCCCACAUACUUUGGGCCGGUACUGAACUACUUGAGGCAUGGCAAGCUGGUGCUCAACAGGGAGCUGGCAGAGGAAGGUGUCCUGGAGGAAGCCGAAUUCUACAAUAUCACAUCAUUAAUAAAGCUCCUCAAGGACAAGAUCAGGGAACGAGACUGCAAAACAUCACAGGCUCCAGUGAAACAUGUGUACCGGGUGCUGCAGUGCCAGGAGGAGGAGCUCACCCAGAUGGUGUCCACCAUGUCUGACGGCUGGAAGUUUGAGCAGGUAACGCUGCCUCUCACCACGAGGAGCCAAAUGUCCUCCUUUUAUUUGUACUUCCCUCGACCCAUAAUCCUCAACGCCCAAACAAUCCAAUUCAUGAAUUGGAAAUUAACAUUAAAAAAACUGUUACAUUUUCUGUGUCUUAUACGUGAUCCGGGCAUCCCUCUGUGCUCUGAUUUGGUUGUUGCAGCUUGUCAGUAUAGGUUACGGGCGGGCCCAGCAGUCAGAGUUUCUGCUGAUUGUGUCAAGGGAGGUGAAGGGGGAGGAGUCUACUUUCCCAAGCCACAGCGGAGAGGUGUGUCCCACAAUGUUCCGUCCACGGGCUGGUCACUGCAUGUCCCCUAUGUACCCAUUCACAACCCUUUUGGCCUCUGUCCCAACUCUAUGAACAGUAGGCAGCCAUUUUGAGUUGAUUUCAAUUUUAAGAUGUGUACUGUUCAACAAAGGACCCAAGUGAACACAGCACCCUUUCUAUGUCUGUUUGAUUAUCCCCUCCCCCUUUACAAUUUUGUUUUCAGUUUGUUGGUGAUAUGCAGGUUGUUCCACAAAGAUCUAUUGUUUUUUUUAUAGACAUUGUGUGGCAAUAUGGUAUUUUAAAAGCCUGUUACAUUAUAUGAACUGCCCUUUUUAAUAUAGACCACAUCGAGAAUUUAUUCAAAUCAGUUUUUUAUAUGAAAAAAGGCUUGCGAAAGUGCAAAAAUUCAACCCUGUGUCACUUCUAGGACGAUUUUUAUCCCACUUAAUCCCCAAAAUAAAGCCCUAGUUAUUUUGUUGCUUUGACAGUCAUUUCUGAAGAUUAUUUAUUUCAUGUGAUUAGUGAUUCAUUUACGUCUGUCCCUCAUUUUAAGGUCAACCCUGUUACGUGAACUGAACUCUCAUUUUUAAAAUGGUGAAACUAUUCCUAAAAAAAAAAGAUCUAACAUUUGAAUAUCUAUCUAAUAGUGACUAUCUAAUAGUCAAAUCCUAAAAGCAGGUGAGCUGGUUCUACUCUUUGGACAUUUUCCAGUGUUUCGUGGUGGAAAACUGAGCAGGUUGAGAGAAACGCGUCAACCCUGUGACUCAUAAAUAGGCAGGCUAGAAAUGUUUCAAUUGCCAUCCCCUGUUGCACACAACAAGCUGCCAUUCCCCCUGUCACAAAGGGAUGUAUGGCUGAUUUUAAGAAGAAAUCGUCAACCCUGUAUUCUUUUAACCCAUGCUAGUUGAUGAGAGAAGGAAGAGAUUGAAGCCUGAUUAGACUAUUCACCUUAUGUAGCCAGGGAGAAGUAGUCGCUAGAUAUAAAUCACACUUUUUCAAGUUAUUCAACAAACUGCAUAGAAUCUGAAAGAUUGAUUUAUUAACAUGAGGAAAAUGAUAUACAUUUUGUACAUUUAAUUUAAACGCUGACAUUUGUGCAGUUAGCAUUCCCAUAGACUCAACAUGGAUGGUUAUCUAGAUAGCGUAUUUAAACUAUAUAAUGGUCGUUAUCCUCACAGGCUAUUUCCCUUUUCACUCGAAGAGCAAUACUUGAAAGGAUGACUGUUAGACACGAAUACCAUUGACAAAAGACAGACACAAUAGAUUGACAAAAACAAACUCUUAUCCAAUGUAAACGUCGCACAUGAGUUCCCCUUGGGGAUAGAUCCAGAAUCUCCUCAUUGCCGCCCAUCAAAAUUAGCCUGCAUUUAGGUUGUUUAUGCAUUUCACUAUGUUGAGGUAAAAAUCUGAGUAUAAUGCUUGUGUGAAUGUCAACCCCAAAACUUGUUCAUGUCAUCAUCAACUGCAUUACACUCAAACUAAUUCAACUACCACCACCAAUUUUUCUAUAUCACUAGCUUUGCUACCAGCUUAUACAAAACGGGAGUUAUUAUUUAGCAGAGAUUUUUUUUUUUUAUAAACCCGAAAAGGACGACUUCUAAAUAUUAUGUAGGGAACACAGCCAAAUGUAUCCUAAUCGGAUUUUACUAACCACACUGUGGGCCUGUUAGAACACACAAAUCGUGAUGGACUGGACUGUUUUUGAUUGGACACCAAUGAUGGCGUCCUUCUUCUAGCCACGACGGUCUGCGUUCCAUUGAUCUCUUUACUGCAUGUGUGCCGAGAGGGUUUUCUGCAGAUAACAUUAGGUCGUUUUCGAUCUCUUUGUGCCACACAACUAACUAGCUAACAUCCAUAUUUUAGCAUGUCAUUGCUGUCUGAUGAAAACCUCCAUAAGUACAUGUUUUGCCAAUUGUAAUUAUUUUACAUGUAGGUAGUAACUCACAUCAAUGUACCCUGAAUAUUUCAGAACAUUCUAGGACCUGGAAAAUAUAUUCCAAAUAGCUUCUUGAAAUUGUAGGUUUGUUAAUGGUCCCCUCAACUAUAUUCAACUAUAUUCUACUGUAGCCUACUGAUGUUACAGGUGUGUUUCAGAAAUUAGGGGGGGGGGUUAUUAGAGAAGAAUGGAUCAAACUUUUCAAUGCUAGGUAAGGAUACUAUAGUUAAUUCAGUGGAUGUAUUAACUACAGAAAGGUAAGAUGUUUUUAUUUUAAUUCUGGUGCCGCGCUGCACACACAUGCAUGUUAGCUCGCUAGCCAGCUCUGGUCCAGACAUUCAACGUUUCUCAAUAGAAGCCGCUCCUCCGUAGGUAUAAUUCUGUUGGCCUAAUUCAGAUUAUGCAUGUCAUAACAACAAGAUGCCCAGUGCUUCAAGCCUCCCAUCCUCUCCCUACCCGCAUAAUUGUCACGUCUCGCGCCCUACACUUGUCGGUCCAAUGCAUGAAAAUAGCUUGCCCGCUCCAUAGCAAACUGCUCUAUCUGCGCUGAUUGGUGACGUCAUUUAGUGUUGAGCUAAAUGUAAAUUUGAGGUUUUAAAAAGGAACAAAGGAACCAUAUAAACCAUAAUGGGUAUUUUUUUUCUGGGUUUUUUCAAACCGGUUCAGAACUAUAUUUUGCUAGUCAGAACAGUGGAAUGGAACUAAUAGAGUAAUGGUUCUGUUUAGAACGAAACGAUUCACACUGCCCUUGCCUUUUUGAAUGAGCACUCUGCUCUCUUGCCAGUUCACUUCAACAAUUGUGGUCAGAGUACUCUUACAUUCACAUUGCUGUGUUUAGAAAUGAACCAAGCUCAUCUUCCAAUAUCGACUCAAUCCACUAUGGGUAAAUGUUUAGGAUAAGCCAUACCAUAAGAACCGGUUGGAAGAUAAUAGAUUUUAGUUCAUCAAAGACCAUUCUAAUCAAAAGAUUAUUAUAUUUAAUGUAAAUAUGACUGGUAACAGGGUAAAUGGCAGAAUAUUAACUGCUUUAUUUGAAAAUUGUAUAUGCAAUGUAGGAUACUGCCCCUUUAAGAGCUUGUGUUGAUUUUGUAAUCUAGUUGUGUGGUUUUCAUCAAAUGUUACUUUAUUCAAGCCCCACAAUCGAGUAAACAAACGUUUAAAAAAUGUUUAGAGCUCUAAAUCUAAACAUUGUUUAACUACAUCCAUAUUUUGGAAUCCUUAAAUUGCUGCCUAAUGUCCAGGAACGGCACGCAUGUUUUCCUCCACCAACCUGCACAUCUUCUCUCGUUUGUGGCACCAACGUGAGGGGUUAUAGCAGGGUAAACGGUGUUGCAGUAGCCUACUACAUGGUGUGGUAACAAUGACAAGCGAGCCUGGAGAGCUUUGGGUUCACAUUGCACUGAAAAAGAGAACCGGACCGUGGUCUUCAAACCAACCGAACUCAGACCACCUCUCGAGAUGGAUUCAGUUUGGCUUGCUCCAAGGGGCUCUUUUGAGGGAUCUGAAUUAUUUUGGAGCGUUCGCAUUGCACCAAACUUUAACCCAAACCGAGUUCACCAACAAUUUCUGAAAGGGACCAAGUGUAAAAUAAAACGUAGGUCAUACCGCCAUGUCCAAUUUAGCUCAAUCUCCUAUUUCUCAGCCUUUGAGUAUCUUUGAAUGAAUAACAGAAAAUGUUUAUGAACAUUUGCUGUGAAUGAAAUUGAGCAGAAAAAUAUCUGUUCAAAACACAAACAUAAAACAUCAAAUUUGACUAAAUGUGUAAUGUUCAAAUGUAUGCUUGUUUUGGGGAAUUAACACCAGUUACUGCUUGACACUCUGUUUUGACUCCGAGUUGGUAAUUGCAAUGACCCAAUUCAGCGCUUUUAGGGUUUUGGGGGGUUUGUGUGCAGGCUAUAAGUGUGCGCGGAUAAACUCUGAAUCUCCCCUGGCCCCACUAUCCCUUUGGGGGGGUAAGAACGAACACUGGAUCUCCCUCGGAGCAGGAAUCUCACUAAUCUUCUUAUAGGGUUCCCGAUGGGAAGCCCCUUAAAACACUUCGACCUUUAGCUUAAGGCUCAGCAGCAGUGAGUCCUGCGAUCUGGGCAUACGCACUCCGCUAACCUAUUGCCCUACUUUCAGAGCCACCCAGUCCUGGUUUGUGUUCAUUGGGGAACGUUUUGCAACAACAACAAAAAUAUAAUUAUUAUUCAGAUUGAAACUUGAAGGUAUGGUACAGUACCUGCUAACUUUAACGUUUAGCAUUGAUUAUAGAGUAGCCUAAUACUUUCGCCUCCUGUGUGAGACGUCUCUUGGCAACAACAGGGUUCCUGCAGAAGUGACUAAUGAGUCUGUAUGUUGAGACAUACACACCUACAGAGUACACUGUUAAGUUCUCAUACACUACAUGACAAAAAGUAUAUGGACACCUGCUCGUCAAACAUCUCAUUCCAAAAUCAUGGGCAUCAAUAGUUGGUCCCCCCCUUUAAUGCUACAAGAGCCUCCCACUCUUCUGCGAAGGUGUUCCACUAGAUUUUGGAACAUUGCUGCAGGAACUUGCUUCCAUUCAGCCACAAGCAUUAGUGAGGUCGGGCACUGAUGUUGGCCAUUUAGGCCUGGCUCGCAGUCGGCGUUCCAAUUAAUCCCAAAGGUGUUUGAGGUCAGGGCACUGUGCAGGUUAGUGAAGUUCUAACACGAUCUUGACAAACCAUUUCUGUAUGGACCUCACUUUAUGCAAGGGGGUAUUGUCAUGCUGAACCAGGUAAGGGCCUUCCCCAAACUGUUGCCACUAAGUUGGAAGCACAGAAUCGUCUAGAAUGUUAUUGUAUUCUGUUGCUUUAAGAUUAUCCUCCACUGGAACUAAGGGGCCUAGUCCGAAUCAUGAAUAACAGCCCCAGACCAUUAGUCCUCCUCCACCAGAUUUUACAGUUGGCAUUAUACAUUCAGGCAGUUAGCGUUCUUCUGGCAUCAGCCAAACCCAGAUGGUCACUCCAGAGAACGUGUUUCCACUGCUCCAGAGUCCAAUUGCGGCAAGCUUUACACCACUCCAGCCAAUGCUUGGCAUUGCACGUGGUGAUCUUAGGCUUGUGUGACGCUGCUUGGCUAUGGAAACCCAUUUCCUGAAGCCCCCGAUGAACAGUUCUUGUGCUGACGUUGCAACUCGGUAGUGAGUGUUGCAACUGAAGACAGAUGAUUUUCACGUGCUUCAGCACUCGGCGGUCCCUUUCUGUGAGCCUGUGGGGCCUUCCACUUGUUGCUUCUCAACAAUAACAGCACUUACAGUUGACUGUGGUAAACUUGUUGGAAAGGUGGCAUCCAAUGACGGUGCUACUUUGAAAAUCACAGCUCUUCAGUAAGGCCAUUCUACUGCCAAUGUUAAGCUAUGGAGAUUGCAUGGCUGUGUGCUCGAUUUAAUACACCUGCCAGCAACAGGUGUGGCUAAAACGGCUGAAAACACACAUUUUUUUGAAGGGGUGUCCACAUACUUUUGUGUGUGUAUAUAGUGUAUGUGCGCACGCUGACUGGUUGAACGCUAAAGUUAAAAGCAUUCGACUGAGUGGAGGAACAUUUUGUGUUUGUCUGACCUUGUCAAAUAUGUAUUUGCAUGACAUCGUAUCACCUCACCGUCUGCAUGUUUGUUUAAUGUCCUGGUAUCCCUGUCUGCUUUGUGUCCGUUUAAAAAGGAACUAACAUCUUAAGGGAGCAAAUAUGACCCCUCACCCCCACCCACCCACACACACAUUAAUUACUUUCUACAUAUUUGGAGUCUGUAGCCAACUCAUCUUUUGUUCUGAUCUGUUUCUGGCUCUGUCUCAUGUAUGUUCUACGUAUUCUCUAAUGCUUUUAAUUUCUGUUCAAACUCUUCACAUCUACACUGUAAUCCUCUUUUCUCUCUCUCUGAAGCUAACUCUCUUUCUCCCCCCCCCCCCCCCCCCCCCCCCCCAGCUGGUCAGCAUUGGAUCCUCUUAUAACUACGGAAACGAGGACCAAUCUGAGUUCCUGUGUGUCGUCUCCAAGGAGCUGCACAACCAAUCAUAUGGCCCAAACAGUGAGCCCAGUGAGAAAGCCAAGAUUCUUCAGGAGAGGGGAUCCAGGAUGUGAAUGAUCAGUAUUACAAGCAGCAGGUAUAGAGUACAAUCGUGUGAGUCAUAAUACCCAUAAAACCUAGCAGUCAAACAGGGAAAUGGUUACAAUUGUUUUUCCACCGUUCAUUUAUCCCAUAGGGGAAAUUUUUACCAUAGGGAAACACUUAAAAUAAAAUAAAAUAUUAAUCGAAUUAACUACUAAUGUCGCUAUCAUAAAGAACAAAUACGAUGAGGAUCUGGAUGAGACUGCUGAAUUGAGGCAAAGAUAGUUAAUCCAGAGACUCUUAUCUAAUGAUGGAUAAAUGUAGUAAUAAAUUGGCAAAAUGACUUAAACUUGACUAUUCUGUUAACUGUCUUGUGCAAGUUUUUGAAAUUGACACUACCUGUUUAGCAAAGGUUUUCAGCUAGAGAUGUCGUGCAGGAGCUUGUAGGGAUUUGUAGUCUUGCAUGUCGUCUACUCUGAUGCUAGUUAGCAUUUUUGAAAUAUGAGCGGAAAUAGAACCGACUACAUUGAUCAGUCACCUUGUCCGAGAGGGAUUUACAUGGUCAUCAAAACAUCACAUCAAGCCUAAACAAAACACGGCCCUUUAUUUUAAGUGUUUCUAAAAUCACCUAUGGGGGAAAAUGGUGUGAUUGGUGUGAAAGCGAUUUGAAACCAUUUCCCUGUUUAACGGGUAUUACGACACCUCCACUGUGGGGCUCUAUAACGAUGCAAACAUAUCCUUGACAAGGAAGAACCUGUCACACAACGGAGAAGACAGUUAAGAGGGACGUACGUUUGUUUGUUUUUUCCUCCCAUUUUAUUUUAUAAUGUAAAUAUAUGAGUCUUUGUGCCUGUACAGUUACACUGGACCAUUUUUGAAUUAGUGGGGAAUUUCUUCUAACUAAAAGUGAUGAAUUAUAAUGUUUUAUGCUAUAAAACAUGGCCAUGGUCAUACACGGCCAAUGAUUCACUCAGGGGCUACUUUUGAGUUUCUGUUACCUUCUCACUCCAGGAUCUGAAGGGUUUAUGAUGAGCAAUCUAUUAUCAGGCAUAAACUGCUAAAAACCUGUACUGUCAGUAGUAGUAGUAGUAGUAGAAGGUAAUUAAGCAUACUUAUUGAGAAAUUGGUCGCAAAAGAGACAGGGAUUCUUCAUUUUGUUUUCAAACGAGUUUAAUGCUUCCUUUUCUGGUGUGUCCUCUGUAUUUUAGAUGGGACUUUGUUUAAAGCAUGUAUUUGUGGGUUUAAGAUAUUUUUGAGAAGGUUGGGGUUUGCUAAUGUUUUGGAAGGUAACGGUGAAGGAAUAUAUGUUAAUAUCCUUAGGUUUGUUGAUGUGCAUAAUCUAAAAAGUCCAUUUAAUAUUUAACUGUUAAACUCCACGUUUUGUACACUGUAUAGUUAAACACAACUUAAAAUGUAAGUUGUUAUACUGGAUCAUAGCUAGAAAGUCUUGACAAUUUAAAUUGAUAACUUGAGUUUUGCAAUGUUUGUACAUAGGUCUCUGCAUAUUAAGACUUGUAAAUCGAGGUUCAAAUGGUUGAUGCGCUGUUUUACUUUGAAAACACCUGAAAUCUCUUGAUAUCCAAUAAUACGGGCAAUAUACCUGGGCUCAGACAUUGACUGUUAUGUUGUAAAAAGAUGUAUUGGUCUUGAAAGGCUGCACAUUAUUUGAGACAUUUUGUAUUGUGUAGACCACAGCAUUCUAAGCUCUAGUUGGAGGAUGUGUACAUUGCUUUCCUUACACUGCAACACCGUUUUAAGGGUAAAUGCUGCAUUUCAGGAGACUUUUUAUACCAAAAAAUUGUUUCUGACCGGAGAUGCGGUACUGCUCAACUUUUGAUAGUUUCCUUUUCCCAGUGAUGACCAAAUCCAAUGUCUUAUGUGCCGCUUAUACAUGAACUUUGGAACUCUGGUUGCAGGCACACGCACCCUGUAUGUGCAGCAGGAAACGCAUAUUGACCCACAACUAAUUUUACACACACUCUUUCCAUGUAACAAACAGUUUUAUAUAAUUAAAGGUGAUUGGAUGGAUGCAUGUUUUUGAUAUACAUACAUACACUCGCACACAAGGGCUUUUAAAGUGGAAACUAUGAAAUCUGCAAAGAGGUUCAAUUUAAAUAAGUGUGUUUUGACAGAGCUAGGCUAUGUUUACAUUUGCUAUAGUAUUCUGAAGCCUUCCAGCGAUCUUGCACUCCCCACUUACCUAAACAUUGACUUGUUUGACUGGAGAAAAGGGAACAAGCACGCCCCACUCUAGAUAGACUUUAAAUGCAUGUAAAUAGUUUAUGUUAACAUAUACAUUUCCAAGUGGUUUGCUACCACAUCAAUGUUAGAGCUGGUAAUCUCUCGUGGACCGACUACGUAAACAUACAGUUGAAGUCGGAAUAGUACAUACACCUUAGCCAAAUACAUUUAAACUCAUUUUUUUUAAAUGACUGACAUUUAAUCCUCGUAAAAAUUCCCAGUCUUAGGUCAGUUAGGAUCACCAGUUUAUUUUAAGAAUGUGAAAUGUCAAUAAUAGUAGAGUUAUUUAUUUAAUUACAUUCCCAGUGGGUCAGAGGUUUACAUACACCCAAUUAGUAUUUGGUAGCAUUGCCUUUUAAAUUGCAUAACUUGGGUCAAAUGUUUUGGGUAGCCUUCCACAAGCUUCACACAAUAAGUUGGGUGAAUUUUGACCUAUUCCUCCUGACAGAGCUGGUGUAACUGAGUCGGGUUUGUUGGCCGCCUUGCUCACACACACUUUUUCAGUUCUGCCCACAAAUGUUCGAUAGGAUUGCGGUCAGGGCUUUGUGAUGGCCACUUCAAUACCUGGACUUUGUUGUCCUUAAGCCGUUUUGCCUCAUCUUCGGGAAGUAUGUUUGGGGUCAUUGUCCAUUUGGAAGACCCGUUUGCGACCAAGCUUUAACUUCCUGACUAAUGUCUUGAUGUUGCUUUAAUAUAUCCACAUAAUUUUUCUUUCUCAUGAUGCCAUCUAUUUUGUGAAGUGCACCAGUCCCUCCUGCAGCAAAGCACCCCCACAACAUGAUGCUGCCACCCAUGUGCUUCACAGUUGGGAUGGUGUUCUUCGGCUUGCAAGCUUCCCCCUUUUUCCUCCAAACAUAACGAUGGUCAUUAUGGUCAAACGGUUCUAUUUUUGUUUCAUCAGACCACAGGACAUUUCUCCAAAAAGUACGAUCUUUGUGCAUUUGCAAACCGUAGUCUGUCUUUUUUAUGGCGGUUUUGGAGCAGUGGCUACUUCCCUGCUGAGCGGCCUUUCAGGUUAUGUCGAUAUAGGACUUGUUUUACUGUGGAUAUAGAUACUUGGGUACCUGUUUCCUCCAGCAUCUUCACAAUGUCCUUUGCUGUUCUGGGAUUGACUUGCACUUUUCGCACCAAAGUACGUUCAUCUCUAGGAGACAGAAAGGGUCACCUUCCUGAGCGGUAUGACGGCUGCGCGGUCCCAUGGUGUUUAUACUUGCGUGCUAUUGUUUGUACAGAUGAAUGUGGUACCUUCAGGUGCUUGGAAAUUGCUCCCAAGGAUUAACCAGACUUGUGGCGGUCUAUAAUUGUUUUUCUGAGGUCUUUGCUGAUCUUUUGAUUUUUCCCAUGAUGUCAAGCAAAGAGGCAUUGAGUUUGAAGGUAGGCCUUGAAAUACAUCCACAAGUACACCUCCAGUUGUCUCAAAUUAUGUCAAUUAGCCUAUCAGAGUCUUCUAAAGCCAUGACAACAUUUUCAGGAUUUUUCCAAGCUGUUUCAAGGCACAGUCAACUUAAGUGUAUGUAAACUGCUGACCCACUGGAAUUGUGAUGCAGUGAAAUAAUCUCUCUGUAAACAAUUGUUUGAAAAAUUACUUGUUAUGCACAAAGUAGAUGCCCUAACUGACUUGCCAAAACUAUAGUUUGUUAACAAGAAAUUUGUGGAGUGGUUGAAAAAUGAGUUUUAAUGACUCCAACCUAAGUGUAUGUAAACUUCCGACUUCAACUGUUAAUGGUACUGACCAAUUUACAUCAGAAUUUAGUUCUGGGUUAACUGAGAAAGUGCUGAGGACAAUCUUGUUUUUUCCCCCUGUGAAAGUGAUCGUGUGAAAAUGGUGACUAGCUCAGUCAGCUUGAGGAGACUAGUGUUGGUCUCAUGAGUAUUGUUGCUGUGAGAUUUGUACUUUUUUUUUGUUUAGUUUGCUAAGAUUAAGAUGGAACCAAGCUGUCUGUGUACUUUAGUCUUGACCUGUAUCACAGUGGCUGGCUGCACUACCUCCUCAGCAGCACCAUUUUACACACUGCUCGACUACAUUCCAUGGUCAUUUAACUUUCACUUUUUGUGCACCAAUGUCUCCAGUCUACUGUAAGAUGUGCAAGUUCCCAGUAUAUUGGGAAGAGUCAGCUGGUUACUUCAUCACAGUCCACUGUAACGCAUGAUUGAAGACAGUCACACACAGGCCUAUUAUUCCAGAGUAGAUGGAAUGUACUUGUUCCAUAAUCAGAAUUAUAAUGCUCUUGAUAUCAAAGAUAAUUAUCAGAAUGAUGUCAUAUCACUACACCUGUCACUUCUGACUAUUACCAUGAUUUUAUGCAAUGUAAAAAUGUUACUGGGAUAGAUGUAUGGUCUUGCAUAGGUUAACUUCAAUAAAUGGUUUGCAUUUCA